rnacentral:lncRNA from 1 species
GCAAUGGCAACAGCUUCUACACAGUGGGUGAUGUCUCAUCUCGCCCAAGAGCCCUCUAGGUAUAUCCCUAAUUACUCUCUCUGAGACCCUGCUGGAGUGAGUGAGCAGUAGACCAAAGACUCUGAAAAAAAAAAAAAAAAAGGAAAGAAAGCAGAAAGAGUAAGAGAAAAUAAGAAAAAUAAGGAGGUCAAGAGAUAGAUCAGAAUCUGGAGAGAGAAGGUGAACGAGAGAGCUGGAACAAGUGGACAAGAGUGAUAGAGAACAAGAGAAUGAGACUUUAUAUAUAGGAGGAAUAAAAGGCCUAAA